UACAGAGGGUGCGAGCGUUGCUCGGAUUUACUGGGCGUAAAGCGUACGCAGACGGUAAGGAAGGUCGGAUGUGAAAGCCCCGGGCUCAACCCUGGAACUGCAUUCGAAACCCCCUUGCUAGAGUAUGGGAGAGGGAAGCGGAAUUCCUGGUGUAGAGGUGAAAUUCGUAGAUAUCAGGAGGAACACCGGCGGCGAAGGCGGCUUCCUGGCCCAUUACUGACGUUCAGGUACGAAAGCGUGGGUAGCAAACAGG
rnacentral:rRNA from 1 species